UACCGAGGGUGCGAGCAUUAAUCGGAAUUACUGGGCGUAAAGCGUGCGUAGGCAGCUGCUUAAGUCCGAUGUGAAAGCCCCGGGCUUAACCUGGGAACGGCAUUUGAUACUGGGCAGCUCGAGUUGAGUAGAGGAGAGGGGAAUUUCCGGUGUAGCGGUGAAAUGCGUAGAGAUCGGAAGGAACACCAGUGGCGAAGGCGCCUCUCUGGACUCAAACUGACGCUGAGGUACGAAAGCGUGGGUAGCAAACAGG
rnacentral:rRNA from 1 species